ensembl:lncRNA
UGUAUGUGUAGCAGGAUGGGCCUUUAAUUAGUGCUGCAGUACCGGCCUAUCACUGUUGGGUGCGCUGCCUAUAAAGGUGAGUGGUUGUGCACUGGGAGCCCUCUUGCCUGGGAGCUCCUGGCUGCCCCGCCUCCUGUUAUCACCGCACCUGAUCGCCUCACCUGAUUGCCUUUUAGCUGGAUCGUGCAGCUCGCCGUUCUUUGGUAUGUAGUAGUUGUGUGCAUCUGUGUACCUUCUAAACUUUGCACAAGUCCUCAACAUUGGCUUCAUCCCUCAGGCAGUUCAUUGGCCGGGUCUUCCCUCUCCCGUAUCGACCCCAGUUGUAGGGCGUGCGAGUGUUUUCCUCCUCUACCUGUUGCAGCGGGGAGCGAUCAGCCCAUUGAUCGAGUUGCACUUGUAAUUGUGAUGCUCGGUACAAGUGAUCCCCUUCCUCCCCUUUGAUGUUCAUUCAACUCCUGACGGGUUGACGUGUGUGUGGGCGGUUUCUGCCAGCACAUUCCCCCCCCUCUUCACGCUGCUGUUGGCCGGCUGCUGUUUUGUCCACUGCUUUAUAUAGCCAACACAUCCAUCCUACUCUGCAUCUCCUACUGUGCUGUACCUGCCACCGACUAACCAAGACCCUCACGUCACCGUGCACGUCCCACGCUGCACCUGGAGGAAGGUGGUGCGCGACUGCCUUCUGGAGGCGGAUGUGAUCAUAAGAACUAGGAGGCCAAAAACAAUUCCAUGACUCCCCUGCCUCCUCCAACCAGCUGCUUGGCACUAUGGUAGUGCUGCUAUCUUUGAAUUCCACGACCUUCCACACCUGUGCCAUCUGUCAAUGAG